UUGGAUCAUUGCUCGGGCAACGACGUCCUCCCGCUCGUUCCGCUUCAGUCGUUGGCACGGGAGCGACUUUCGCCUCGGCCGUGCUCGUCGGUUUCCUGUGUUGCAUACCAACGUCGAUGGAAUUCGCAAGCCAAUUCUUCCCUCGUUCGCCUAGCGCUGCCCGCUUGCGCGGUGCGGCUUUCGGGUGAACCUCGAAGCGAAACCCGUACUCCUCGUCGCUCACGCACGGCGUCGUCGUCGAGGCGCACGGGUUCUCGUUUGACCUCCGGGAUGCGGAAAACGUCGGGGCACGGGGUCUUGCACCUCUAUUCGCCCACAAAUUGGCCUCACACGCCACAUUCGAACGACAUUCGGCGUCGCACUGACGACCGGCGUCUUGCGGCCCGAUGUCAGCGAGGAAUGCUACCUGGUUGAUCCUGCC
rnacentral:misc_RNA from 1 species